rnacentral:rRNA from 1 species
CAGCAGCCGCGUAAUACGAAGGGGGCUAGCGUCGUUCGGAGUUACUGGGCGUAAAGCGCGCGUAGGCGGUUACUCAAGUCAGAGGUGAAAGCCCGGGGCUCAACCCCGGAACUGCCUUUGAAACUAGGUGACUAGAAUCUUGGAGAGGUGAGUGGAAUUGCGAGUGUAGAGGUGAAAUUCGUAGAUAUUCGCAGGAACACCAGUGGCGAAGGCGGCUCACUGGCUCGAUACUGACGCUGAGGUGCGAAAGCGUGGGGAGCAAACAGGAUUAGAUACCCCCGUAGUCCCUGUCUCUUAUACA